rfam:Lepisosteus oculatus linkage group LG9, whole genome shotgun sequence.
CAAAAGGCUUUCUUCAAAGCCACCCCUGAAUUUUCAUAAGAUUUCAU